rnacentral:rRNA from 1 species
UACGAAGGGGGCUAGCGUUGCUCGGAAUCACUGGGCGUAAAGGGUGCGUAGGCGGGGCUUUAAGUCAGGGGUGAAAUCCUGGAGCUCAACUCCAGAACUGCCUUUGAUACUGAAGAUCUUGAGUUCGGGAGAGGUGAGUGGAACUGCGAGUGUAGAGGUGAAAUUCGUAGAUAUUCGCAAGAACACCAGUGGCGAAGGCGGCUCACUGGCCCGAUACUGACGCUGAGGAACGAAAGCGUGGGGAGCGAACAGG